AGAGUUUGAUCCUGGCUCAGAACGAACGCUGGCGGCGUGGAUAAGACAUGCAAGUCGAACGAGAGAAUUGCUAGCUUGCUAAUAAUUCUCUAGUGGCGCACGGGUGAGUAACACGUGAGUAACCUGCCCCCGAGAGCGGGAUAGCCCUGGGAAACUGGGAUUAAUACCGCAUAGUAUCGAAAGAUUAAAGCAGCAAUGCGCUUGGGGAUGGGCUCGCGGCCUAUUAGUUAGUUGGUGAGGUAACGGCUCACCAAGGCGAUGACGGGUAGCCGGUCUGAGAGGAUGUCCGGCCACACUGGAACUGAGACACGGUCCAGACACCUACGGGUGGCAGCAGUCGAGAAUCAUUCACAAUGGGGGAAACCCUGAUGGUGCGACGCCGCGUGGGGGAAUGAAGGUCUUCGGAUUGUAAACCCCUGUCAUGUGGGAGCAAAUUAAAAAGAUAGUACCACAAGAGGAAGAGACGGCUAACUCUGUGCCAGCAGCCGCGGUAAUACAGAGGUCUUAAGCGUUGUUCGGAAUCACUGGGCGUAAAGCGUGCGUAGGCUGUUUCGUAAGUCGUGUGUGAAAGGCGCGGGCUCAACCCGCGGACGGCACAUGAUACUGCGAGACUAGAGUAAUGGAGGGGGAACCGGAAUUCUCGGUGUAGCAGUGAAAUGCGUAGAUAUCGAGAGGAACACUCGUGGCGAAGGCGGGUUCCUGGACAUUAACUGACGCUGAGGCACGAAGGCCAGGGGAGCGAAAGGGAUUAGAUACCCCUGUAGUCCUGGCAGUAAACGGUGCACGCUUGGUGUGCGGGGAAUCGACCCCCUGCGUGCCGGAGCUAACGCGUUAAGC
rnacentral:rRNA from 1 species